CUGCCUUCACUUCUUCUCUUUCUCUCCCUCACAGCAUUUUGCCUCGUUUCGAACCUAGGUAUCUUCCUCUCCCUGUCAUUUUGUCCUUUACUUUGAUUGCACACUGCAUCAAGUUAAAGCUCCCACCAACUGGAGAAAGAUACCAUGCUACAUCUUAUUUGUGUGCCAAUUGUGGAGCUCUCUUGGGGUUUCUGUAAGCGUUGGUCAUCUGGAAGGGACAGAAAAAUCUAGGCAACUAGGGUCUCUCUCACAUUCCACUUUCUCUAUAAAAAAAAAUCCCAAAAUUGGCUCUCCAGGACUGGAAGUGGAAGUAUGAGGUAUCCUUUUCUUUUUCCGGUAUUUUUUUUUAAAUUUCUUUAUUUCAUGCAUGGUGGAUUUCUCUUUGGUGAUUAUUGAAUUGCUUAUAUAUUUUCUUGGUAUUUAGGGUGAUCUAAUUUUUCUGGCUUUUCAAGAGCAGCGGCAUGAGGUACACUUUUCUUCUUUUUCUUUUUUUUUUUCUCUUUUUUUUUUCUUCUAAUUUUUAUGUAAUGGAUGCAGGUGGAUUCUCUGAGUAUACCUGGGAUAGUGAGAAAUUGGAGCUCAUCUGGGGCCAGAUCCAUUUGGAUUUUGGUGUCUGAUUGGAGGAAAAGAAAAUAAAAUAAAUUUGGGGUUUGUAUUGAUUUGAUGUUUGGUUUUAUUUAAUUUUUAUUCUUGCAUGUUUGCUUUUUCUGAAUUUUCACUGUUUGUUUUGUUAGUUGAAGAUUACGGUGUUUGAUUGAUUUCAAUGGGGUGAGUUGUUAAUUUGUCCUCUAUUUAUUCAUGUCAUUUUAUGAAUGCUUGCAUAAUCUGCAUCUCAUUUCACUAACUCUCUGGGUGUAUUUUUGAUAAAUUGUCACUGUUUUUUUCUGUUAAUUUUUAAGUCUCUGUGUGUGUUGUUUACCCCAGACUUUGGACAUCAACUUGUUCUGUUUUCUUGGUGGUUUGAUGCGUUUUGUGUUGUGUUUUUCGGUCAAUUGACUCAGUUCAUAUGAUUAAUUCCCAUCGUUUCCAUGCCAUAUUGGUUGAAUUUAUUUUAACUAUAUUUAUUUUUGUUGCAGCCAUAUCUCAUAUAAACAACAAGUAGAAGGUUUACAGGACAUUAACCAAUUAGUUGGGCUAUUAGUUCCUUUACUUUGUGAUGUCCCUGGUGUGAGUAAACAAAUGUUCAUGUACUUUAUAGUUAGGAGGAUUUAACGAGGCCUUUUCUAUGUGCUUUACUUUAUUAUGUUUUGAUAAACGGAGGUUCAACAACAGGUUACUGAAAUGAUCACUUAUAUAUAUAGCCUCCACCACAAAGUAAUUUCCUAAGAAAUGUGUAGUACUUUGUCUUCUGGGUUAGUGUUCUCUAAUUUAGAUUAGACAUUAAGGCUUUGAGCUUGGUAAGAUUUCUUUUCUUGAUGUACCUCAAUUUUUUUAUUCAUUGUUUUUCUUUUUGGAGUUUUCGAUUUACAAAUAAAUUCUACAUUUAAAUUCUCUUUUUGUGAUCCUUCAGAUUUUGUCUUUGUAAUCAGAUGGUUGAUAUCGCAAGACUGAUUUCAUUCUUCUUCACUUUCAAGAAGCACCGGUGUUUAUUGAAGGUAUAUAAUCUGUUUAGACAUUUAGUCUUCAAUGUAUCAAGUAUUUUGUGUUGUUAGUUUUAUGUUACUUUUGUUGCUGCCUGCCUUUUUUUUUCUUUCUAUUUUUUUCGUUUUUAUCCACUUCUCUUUCACAUUUGUGCAACCUAUUGUCCUCAGUUUAUAAUCUUUCGUUGGAUAAUCUGAUCGCCCAAUCUAUUCUCAAGCGAUAUCUUUGGUUUUAAACUGUUCUAACCAGUUUAAUCUUUAAAUUGUUCAAUGUUAACCCCAACAUUUUAUUUUCAUUCUAUACGCAUUGGAACCAAACUUAAUUGGCACUAAAAAUGUAUAAAGCCUUUAACUAUACCAUGAAUGCAAUGUUAGCCAGUAAAUAAUUAUAAAAGUAACUUUGUCAUGGGCUAUAAUCAUAUCCAUCAUCAUUCCAUGAUUGUUACCAACCUUUAAAAUCAAAUUUAGCAUCAGUAUGUUUUACCUCUGUUUCAAUCUUAACCAGUAGCGGCUACAAUUUUGUAUUAAUCACUGUUAUCAAUUGUUCUUAACAUAUGAUCAUCAGAUCCCAAUAUGUUGACCAUCGUUCUCCCUACCUUAUCGUAUGUGAAACGAUUAUAUUUACACUCACUUUUAUUCAUUGGAAACAGUAUUUGUGUCUCUCCAUAUCCAAUCCUUGGUGCAAAAUGUUUACAAUUUGACCUGUUUCAGUUUCCUACAGCCAAAUUGGAAUCAAUCUGAAAGAACUGCGCCUAUUCGCCGUCUUCAAGGUAUAACAUUGAUCACUCUCAACUUUUAAUUUCUUUUUCAACAUUUUUUCCUUUUGCAUUUCUAAAAAAACCUUUAUUCAAUAGAUACUGAUAUGGUCACUUACAGCAUAAAAAAACUUCAUCUUUUUUGUCAAUAUUUAAGUUUUUCUUAUUUUUCUUCAUGAACCAGGUCAGCCCAUAACUCUGUAACCAUCCACGUAUAUAACUUAUCCAUUUUGAUCAUUGUGGUAUCAAUACAAAUUUACUCUUAUUUUUGAGGUGGGAUUGGUCUUAAAACAGAAGAACCAAAAUUUAAUUGAUCCCAUUGUUCUGUACACAAAAAUUCCAUCGACCCAAAAACCUCACAUGGAAAACAAACGUAUUCACCUUUUUUUUUUUUGCUUCUCCUUAGUUUUUACCUAUUUUUUUCAUUUUUGUUUUCACAGUUUCCUUCAUGAUUAGGUUGAGCACACAGUUUUUAAACCUAUUAAACCAUAUUCGUUUUAAGUGUUUUGCUUCAUUAUUUAACAUUCAUUUGGAUUUGUGAUUGAUAUCAACUUGGUGAGGUUUUCAUUACUUGCAAAGCAUGUUUAGAGUAAUGCCUUUAAACUACGUCAAAUUUUCAAUGAAAAAUCUUGAAUGCCUCGACAUUUAUCCAAUGGAUAAAUUCAUUACAUUCUUUUCGGUGAAACACUAAAGGUCCUAUACGCCAGUCUCUUUUAUCAUCCUCAGCAAACUAUUCUUAUCAUUUUGAGCCCAACUUCAGACAGUCUGCAUUUACUAAUGAAACGAUUGUUUGUUGACAGUUUGACCCUAAUACCUCUAGAAAUUAUCUAUGCAUGGACCACUACUGUAACCCGUUCUCAACCGAUGAACUUCAAACGAUGGUGCGUGUCGCGUCAUUUUUCCUUCCUCACUAUUUAUUUAGCUAUUACAUAUCCAAUCGUAUUGAUUCCUACAGAACAAUGUUUACUUUUCCCGCAACCUCUUAACUUUACAAUGUUUUACAAUUUCUUUCCUGCUGCAUUAUAAUAGAAAUGUGAAGAAUAAAGUCAAUUUAAACACCUAAUAUCUAUCUAUGUUCUUCAUUGUCCCAUAAGACUUUUCAUUCUAUGAAGAAAACAGAUAGAUGCUCCACCCAUUCUGCAGAAAAAAAGUAUACAACAGUACAACAUUGCAGCAACGCGCGGGCAACCUAGCUAGUUAAUACUAUAUGCUAAAAUGCAUAUUUCUACGUGGCAUAUAUUGAGAAGUGUAUCCUUCAUUUUUUUGUUUUUUUGUUUUGGCUAAAGCUUUGAAAUAUUGACACACCUCGACCCGGAAUGUUCACUAGAACUCUGAAUCGAGCUGUGUUGGCCGACACCUGGAAGGUGACGAAGCCAUAAAGUGUGAUAAUGCAUAAACUAUGAAAUAAUUUAAACCUAAAAAUGCUUAUAUAUGCGAGUGCACGAUGAGCGGGUAUAGACCCAUUUCACACGUGAUACAGAGCAUAAGUAAGUACAGUGAGGUAAGAUAAUAAUUAUACCAUUUAACGGAGCCAUGAACUGGGAGUGCCACAAGUCCUUGUUGAUACGAAACUUUGAUAUUAGGACCUGGAGGGGUGCAAAAUAGAAAGUGUGAGUGGACAAAACCAAGUCUUCAAAAAAAUCAUUUCAAUUAUCAAAGGUAGUAACCUCUUGCCGUAAAACCUAUAUAGUUUCCAGAAAAUCAUACUACGUAUUAGUAUGAAAUUAAAAGUAUACUAGCAGUAAUUCCAAAAGUAUACCGCGACAUAUCAUCUCAUUAGCAAUAUAAAUAAUCGUAUGCUUAAUAACCCAUACUAGCACACUAGCUGGAGCCAUCUAUGGUGAACUGUACGACUACAACCAUAUCUCAUCAAUUAAUGCUAGUACAUAAGUCGGAGUCAUCUAUAGUGACCUGUACGAUUUAUCCAUAUCUCAUAAAUCAAUGCUAGCUCAUAAGUUGGAGUGACCUAUAGUGACUUGUACGACUUACGCAUAUCUCAUCAAUCAAUACCUUAGUAAUAUGUUAGUCGGAUCCACCUGUUGUGGCCUGUAUGGUUGAACCCAUAGUUCAUCACAUAUCCCUGCACACGAGUCAGAACCACCUCUAGUGGUCUGUACGACAGGUUGGGUGUAAAUAGUUGCGCUCAAGUGCUAUGAUCACGUGAAGGCUGUGCGAAGUAUCGCAAGUCACAUAUGAGUUGAAAUCACCUAAUGUGGUAUGUACGACAGGCUAGCACCUACCUUGAAUCCAAGGUAAGCAUGAGGUGCGGGAGGUGAACGAUCACGUGAAGGCUAGGCCCUGUCCUCGGGCAAGAGCACUAACAUUGGGUGCAGGGUUAUGAGCUCUAAAUGCAUCUAAUAUGGCAUAUAUGAUUUAUAGACAAUCUGUACGACAAUGUCGGAGUUGCUUCAAACAUAAAUAUAGUCAUGCCAUCACUCAAUCGUUCCAAAUAAAAUGUAAUCAUAACCACGCAUCCCACAUUUCGCAACAUAUACUCACUUGAACUUAUUUGUGCAUCCUGCGUUCACCUUCGCACUUCAAAGCUUUCACAAUAAUUAUGUGCAAGGAAUAUACAUAUGGAUAUACCAUGAUGCAAGCUAAUACUCAACCAUGUCAUAGUAUUUCCAAGUAUAUACAUAUAUAUAAUAUGGCAUAAAAUGCAUAAGCUGUAACGCCCUACUCCUGAACUAUUAUUUUCGAGAAUAAUUAUCGGUGAAAAGUCCGACUAGACACUAGUUUAAUUAACUAUCAUUACUUACGUUUCCUUACUUCAAUUUCUUGAUUCUUCACACAUUAAUUGAUGACCAACAUUUAACCAUCCAAACAUAAAGUUUGUUGAUGCACAAAACCGGAGGUCUUGGAACAACGUAAAUCUGACCGUGAAUCUGCAUGAAAUGUAAAUAACAUAAGAUGUAUCGUGGUUCGCCCCAAGGUUUGGGCUACGUCCACACUGAUAUUGUAUUUAUCUGAGGGAGAGAGAGAGAGCUCUGAGAGUGAAAGCUUUGAGAGGGUGAAGAGCCUUUGGAAAUGGCCUCCUCUAAUUGUGAGGGUGAGGGGUCCUUUUAUAGAAUAAGGACUCCUCACUUAUUACAUAUUUGGCCCUUCCUUUAUCACAUAAUUACAUUUAAGUCUCCCGAGUAUUUGUACGAGAUCUAAAUACGAGGCCCUAAACAUGGUAUAAAAAAUAGUCCCCAAGUCUUCAGUCAAAAGAGUCUUUUGGCUGGAGACUUGAAAUUCAAUCCAUGUACGGGCCGAAAUGGCUAGAUAUCUUAAACCAGUACUCAACCCAAGGAAAUGCUUAACAUAAAGCAAUACUCGGCUAGAGGUAUCACACGUUACAAGAUUGCUUGGCUGGAGGCAAUGCUCGUUGCGAGGCUGCUCGGCUAGAGGCUAUGCUUGCGGCGAGGCGUUUGCUCGGCUGAAGGCGAUGCUCGUUGCGAGGCGGCUCGACUCGUGGUAUUCCUCAUUGCAAGUAUCUACUUUAUGUCGGCAUGCACUCAAUAUGAGUUGAUUCUCGACAUGACUCGGGUCCGCUUGUCGGGUUCGCAUAUUGGGUCUGUGUCAAAUCCGUGGAUCGGGUCUGCAAGUCGGUUCUUUGAGUCGGGGCUAUACGUAGGGUCAUUGAGUUGGGGCUAUCUAUAGGGUCAUCGAGUUGGAGCUAUCUGUAAGGUCAUCGAGUUGGGUCCGGGCACAUAAAUGUCCCAAUAAGCGAAUGUCCGAGUAAGUGGGUGUCCGGUCAAACAAGAGAUCACCAUGAGCACGUGGCUCAUCAGUCUAUAAGUUGGUAGACUUCGUUAAUCGACAACAAUGUUGAUCAGUGGACCUAGUUGCUCAAUAAUUCCUGACAAUAAAUGACAGUAUAAUGAAUAAAUCAAGUUGACAAAGUUUGUCAAGGCAAAAUAUUGUACUAUGUGCCUUCUAUAAAUAAAUAAUUUAUUCAGUCGUGUGGUAAAUGAUUUGUAUCAUAUAUCAACAAUAUAUUGGGUAUUGCCUAAAUGUGUGUGUGUAUAUAUAUAUAAUCAUGAAUAAAUGAUUUAUUCAGUUGUUGAUAAAUCACAUGUUGUAUAAAUCAAUAACGUGAUAGUAAUCAUGUGAUAUCAGAAAUAAUAAUUAUAUUAUUUAAUCAUAAGUCAUCAUGACAUAAAAAUAAUAAAAUUAUUAUUUUAUAACUAGUCAUCAUGACACAAAUAAAAUAAUAAGAUAUUAAAUAAACAAUGAUAUUGAGAAAACAUAAUGAUGAGAUAUUAAAGAACAGCAUCUUAUCUUUUUUCAUGUGGAUGGUCGACAGUUGCAUGUCGUUGGUGCGUAGUAGAUCCAUCUCACAUGAUUGCACCAACAACAAUCCUAGAGACCAAGAAAGUAUGGUCAAAAUGUUGUUGAGUAUACUGAACUUAUCACAUGGUUGCUGGGUAAAGCUUCAGAUGACAGCUCAAAGCAACAAAGCAGUGAGCUCGUGGAUCGAUGCUUAACCCCUGAUGUAGUUAAAUGGAUAAUACUUGGGUACUCACAGGAGAGUACCCAAUUUACUGAUCAAAUGAGCCAAUAAAAUCAACACAGCUGUCCCCUUAAUUCUUUCUUCCUCCCAUUACCCUUGCCAAGAUGGAUCUGGACAAGUCAUAUCUUCAUCCUCCUACUUCCAUCAACCCCAUCCCGUGGCCUCAUCGGAUCCAGCAUGCAAGUCUUCAAGCUCACUUGCCAAGCCAACAUCGAGUCUUUAACCGAGAAACCCCAAUUUGUAAUCCUCCCAGAUUUCGUCGGGUCAGAAUACUAGGUACUCUUGAGUGAGGACCCAAGUAUUGUCUUAGUCAAAUGCAUCUUCUAGACAUUUGCUCGGGCCUCGGCGGCUGGAGAGAACUGGAGGAGGUGAGCGAGUUUGAGGCAGAGGGAGUCGGGAUCGGUCUGCUUAUAGAGGUUGAAGAUGAGCUCGGCCUGGGAGCGCUGCAUGAGUUGAAUCUGCAAACCGAGCAGCUUCGUAAACUUGCACUUGACCAAACUCGGUGCAUGAGUUCCUCUUCCAAACUUGGGCCUCACAUUUGAUUGCAUAAAAUUCAAACCAUGAGGCACAUGAAAAGACUGACCAUCAUGCCCUCUCUCCGAAUAUGGUUGUUGUACAUUAUAAUUCUUUAAACUUGGAUUAACAGGAGCUCCACUUUGUCUCUGGCCCCCAACCCACAAGUUGUUACUAAGACCUGGUCAGUUCCCGUCAACAGCCUAAGGAUGAUGCUGACCAUGUGACAAGUUCUCUUGGCCAAAGAAGUUAUGGACCCUGUCUCCAACUUCGUUUCCAGGCAUGGAUAAUCCAGCCACAAAUUUGUAGCAGCUAAAGUUCUUAUGAGAAAAUAACUACCUUUUUCCAGUAUAAUUUAGUGCCAAUCUAACUGCCAUGUUCCCCGCCCAAACUGCUUAUCAGUGACGUUGCGAGGCCGCUAUUAGAGCUGGAAGCUGAUCCUCCGAGACUAUCAGAUUGAGAAGCUUUAGAGCUCGAAUCGGAAAGAAAGGAAUGUGCGUCUUUAAGCUUCAGAUAGGGAGAGAGAGAGAGAUAGAGAGGUCUCUGAGUCUGUGUCUCUGUGUGGGUUUUGCAGAUUCACAGUGGUCAGUGAUGAAGUCUCACAGUGGUGAGAUGAAAAAAAUGAAAGAUAACCAACAUAGCUUUUCGUUCGUUUCCCACAGACGGCGCCAAAUGUUGAUGCACAAAACCGGAGGUCUUGGAACAACGUAAAUCCGACCGUGAAUCUGCAUGAAAUGUAAAUAACACAAGAUGUAUCGUGGUUCACCCCAAGGUUUGGGCUACGUCCACACUGAUAUUGUAUUUAUCUGAGGGAGAGAGAAAUAGCUCUAAGAGUGAGAGCUUUGAGAAGGUGAAGAGCCUUAGGAAAUGGUCUCCUCUAAUUGUGAGGGUGAGGGGUUCUUUGAUAGAAUAAGGACUUCACUUUGAUAUAUUACAUUUAAGUUCUCUUCACUAUUAUUACAUAUUUGCCCCUUCCUUUAUCACAUAAUUACAUUUAAGUUCUCCGAGUAUUUGUACGAGAUCUAAAUACGUGGCCCUAAAUAUGGUAUAAACAAAGUUAAAUCUCACAUUUUCCACCAAUGUCCGUCACAUUGCUUAAUUCCCCAAACAAGGCUAUUGUCUCAAUUAUUUAGUCUCAUUUAUUGUAUGGUUGCAUCUAACGUCUCGUUAGACUGCCUACAUACCCUAAACAUGGAUCAAGCAAUUCGUAGUUCGCACUAUAACUUCAAAGCAUUCACAGUAAUUAUAUGUAGGUAAUAUGCAUAAGUCAACUUAAAACGUUUGUGGAAUUAUCAAUCAUGUGUAUAUAUAUAUGAUAGAAAGGAAAAUGCCCACUCACCUAAGGUCCAUGCUACGACUCCCUAGCGCUAAUAUCGAAACAUCACGAACCAACGUCACCUAGAACAAUUAUCAAUUCAUGUCUAAGAAUUCUUACCGAUAGAAUACAUAAUUUAUAUAAAACACAUCUCUACGUAAUUCAGUCCGGAAGAUCUGCAUCACAGAUUUUCGAUUCGUUACUUGCAAAGAUCCACAUUAUGUUCCUAGAACAACGUCUCCGCAAUUGCCAAAACCAAGUGGCGGUCAACAUUUUAUUUUAUGAACUUACAAAUCCAAUUCGGGAAGAUCCGUAUGUCAGAUUCCUGAUCCAUAAGUUUCUAUGGUCCUUAAAUAUUACGUACUACAAUGUAUUAAAGUUUGGUGACGAUCCAACCGUCGGAUCGUCGAUUCAUACUUUUACCAAGGAACAUGUACUUUGGGUGUUUGUGAUUCGUUCUCAAAUCAACUCCGACGCUCCAACACUAAUUGGGCUUUGUUCCUGGGAAGGAUGGUGAUUCAUUUUCAGGUGACGGCAAAGUUCGAGUAGCGGGAAAAUCUACGAAAAAAAGGAUGGAUACCUGCCGGGUCGCGAGAGUCCGAUGGGGGAAAAACGGGUCAAGGAGAUCCGACGCAUCUCCUCUCCCUCCUUUCCCUUCCUUGAUCUCUUCUCUGGUUGGUCCCUCCCUUCUCUCAUCUUCCUGAUUGGGCAGCAGCCCUCUAAGCUUCCUCCUCGAACUAGGCAGCAGUCCUCAUUAUUAUUAUUAUUAUUAUUUUCUCUCCUUCCUUACCAAAUAUAAUCUUCCCAUAAUAUAAUAGUACUGAAAAUAUAUAAAAUAAUAAUAAUUGAUCAUACCAUUACUCCAAAUCCGCUUCUUCAUGCCCUACGCGCCCAUAUUGCCAAGUACUUCAGGAAUACACUAAAAGAAUAUUUCGUACGUCUCAGAACAUUUUGAUCAAUGGAAGUCAAUACCCUCGCCUCUAAGGAUAUUUUCAUCAAUUCCCCCGAUUAAAAUAAAUAAAAACGAAAUUUUAAGGACGGGUUGUCACAGAUAUCCCACAUUCUGAAGGGUAGACUAAUUCUCAGUGGGGUCCGAAAAGACUAAAGGCAUUUCAGCUUACUCCUAGCUCACAUCAAAUAGCACACAUCCUUCCAAAGUUUUCAACCAAAGAAUCAACUUUUUUUUCCCAGCUUCUUGCAUUGAACCCAAGUCCACAAACAUAUCUGACUUGGAAUUCUACCCUAUUUCCACUAGACGACUUGCCAUGGUCAGGGGCAAAGCUACAUAGGCGCAAGGAGGGGCGACCGCCCCUCCCCUGGCUGAAAAUGAAGCCUAGGAGUGAGUAUCCGCCCCUACUCUCGUUGGAAAUGAACCCCUGUUUUCUGCUGAUGCUGAGCAAGCACUGUGUGCGAUAGUUUAGUUUUUUGAAAACCCAAAGCCUAACAGUGUCGUGUUAGACGUAGAAAAAGUAAGACCCUUUAAGUAGAACGGCGUCAUUUGUAUUCAUUAAAAAACAUAAAUAAAUAAGACUGACAUAUGGGGUCACUUAGUACUACAGUCUGGUGGUAUUCCUCUCCAUUUGUAAGUGAGACUUCUUAGGUUCGAAUUUCGUAGAUGGCGAAUUUGAUACAUGAUGAGUAGAUUUUAUAUUAUAUAUUUAACCAUAUUCUUAGUAUAUUUUGGUUAAUAUUUUGGAAAAAUUUUGAUACUUUGAAUUAUAUUUUCGAUAUAGGAUUUUCGACUUCCUCUGGAGCAAAACAGGACCAAAUGGACGAAUUUUGGAGUAAUUCUAGUUGGAGGACGUUCGUGAGUCACUUGGAUUGAUCGUAUCAAAUAUCGAAUUUUUCCACCAAGCAGUUAUUUUCUGGCAAUAAAAUAAAUGAGCGAUACGCGGU
rnacentral:lncRNA from 1 species